rnacentral:rRNA from 1 species
UACGCAGGGGGCUAGCGUUGCUCGGAAUCACUGGGCGUAAAGCGCACGUAGGCGGAUCUUUAAGUCAGGGGUGAAAUCCCAAGGCUCAACCUUGGAACUGCCUUUGAUACUGGGGAUCUCGAGUCCGGAAGAGGUGAGUGGAACUGCGAGUGUAGAGGUGAAAUUCGUAGAUAUUCGCAAGAACAUCAGUGGCGAAGGCGGCUCACUGGUCCGGUACUGACGCUGAGGUGCGAAAGCGUGGGGAGCAAACAGG